rnacentral:lncRNA from 1 species
UUGAUUUCAUGACUCCACUAAUGGGUUAAAACUUAUAGUUUGAAAAACAGUGAACUAUGUGAUUAUUAAUGAUCCUUUCAAUAUUUAUUUCCAGUUAUAUACCUGAAGUCAAGAAAUCAGGAACUCAAUACCUGGUCUAAAGACCAUGCCCCCUCACUGCUCAGGUGUUUCGAUAAGUGGAGAAAAGUCGGAGACAUUUGGAUAAGAUGAGUUAAUGCCCUUGCCCAUUCUGGAAUUAUUUGGGAGGAAGGCUGCUCAUGGGACAAGUCAUUUUACCUUCCAGGAGAGAUUCAACACUGGCCAUUGACUAUAUGUGCAGCACACACUUCUUCUGAAGGCUUGAGGCAUCUACCGUGUGACAGAUCAUGAAUCAAAUGACCUGCAAGCUUAGAGAGCCUUUCUCAGCCCUGCCACAUGCAGCUAUGUUGAUGCUGAUGUGACUGAUUUUACUUCCUUCCCUUUAUUCACCAACAGAGAGGUCGCUAUCACACCACCAACUUCUGUUGCUUAGGUCCUGGCUUAUGAAGAAUAGACUCUGGGAGCACAUUGGAAAUCAACACUCUUGCCUUAUGAUGCAGGACAGAUGCUGAAAUUCUCUUAAGAGUAGCUUUAUGAUUAUUUUCUUUGGAAACAUGGAUUAACUCACUUGCCAUCUUCAGGCAGAAGAAAAACCUCAUCCCCUCCCCACCCCACCCCAUCCCUUUUAGAUUCUGCAACUCUGUAUUCUGAAUUUUUGUUAAGAAAAUCUACAAAUUAGAAAUAUCAUUUUAGGGACAAUCAAUAUCAGGUUUCAAUAUAACAGCAACUGUUAAAUAAGAGAAAAUACCUACUUUCAAAGCCCGCAUAUCAAUAAAUAGUAAUAAUAAAGAAGUAGUAAAACUGGCUCAAGGAAACUAGCAGAUUCAAAUGAAAACUAGCAGAUGAUUCAAAACUAGCAGAUUCAAAUGACCAAAUGUACACAGAAGCAGCAAGAUUUCUAUUGUUAAAAUGUGACAAGGGACCUCAGAAAUAAUUAAACCAAACAUCCUCAGUUCAUUUGAUAGAGGAGAACAUGGAUACACAAAGAGGAGAUAUGACUUAUCCCAGGUCACAUAGUAAGUUAGAGGCACUGUCGUGACCUAUGAUAAUAGCAAAUAAGAAUGGCAUGUUGAAUUCUCAACAGCGUGUACAUUUGGUAUUGAAAGGGAAUUAUUUUUAUGUACAGAAUGCUCUUUUGUGAGCUGAAAUAACGUCAUGUAUUGAAUGCG